CCUACGGGGGGCUGCAGUAGGGAAUCUUCCACAAUGGACGAAAGUCUGAUGGAGCAACGCCGCGUGUGUGAUGAAGGGUUUCGGCUCGUAAAACACUGUUGUAAGAGAAGAAUGACAUUGAGAGUAACUGUUCAGUGUGUGACGGUAUCUACCAGAAAGGAACGGCUAAAUACGUGCCAGCAGCCGCGGUAAUACGUAUGUUCCAAGCGUUAUCCGGAUUUAUUGGGCGUAAAGCGAGCGCAGACGGUUGUUUAAGGCCGAAGGAAAAGCCCAUAGCUUAACUGGGGAAGUGCUUUGGAAACUGGAUAACUGGAGUGCAGUAGAGGGGGGUGAAACUCCAUGUGUAGCGGUGAAAUGCGGAGAUAUAUGGAAGAACACCAGGGGCGAAGGGGGCUCUCGGGACUGUAACUGACGUUGAGGCUCGAAAUUGUGGGUAGCAAACAGGAUUAGAUACCCUUGUAGUC
rnacentral:rRNA from 1 species